rnacentral:rRNA from 1 species
GGGGGAUAUUGCACAAUGGAGGAAACUCUGAUGCAGCAACGCCGCGUGAGGGAAGAAGGUCUUCGGAUUGUAAACCUUUGUCCUUGGUGACGAUAAUGACGGUAGCCAAGGAGGAAGCUCCGGCUAACUACGUGCCAGCAGCCGCGGUAAUACGUAGGGAGCGAGCGUUGUCCGGAUUUACUGGGUGUAAAGGGUGCGUAGGCGGCUUUGCAAGUCAGGUGUGAAAACUAUCGGCUUAACUGAUAGACUGCAUUUGAAACUGUGGAGCUUGAGUGAAGAAGAGGCAGACGGAAUUCCCGGUGUAGCGGUGAAAUGCGUAGAGAUCGGGAGGAACACCAGUGGCGAAGGCGGUCUGCUGGGCUUUAACUGACGCUGAGGCACGAAAGCAUGGGUAGCAAAC